rnacentral:rRNA from 1 species
AUUGAACGCUGGCGGAAUGCUUUACACAUGCAAGUCGAGCGGCAGCAUGGGUGCUUGCACCUGAUGGCGAGCGGCGAACGGGUGAGUAAUACAUCGGAACGUGCCCAGACGUGGGGGAUAGCUCGGCGAAAGCCGGAUUAAUACCGCAUACGAUCUACGGAUGAAAGUGGGGGACCGCAAGGCCUCACGCGUUUGGAGCGGCUGAUGGCAGAUUAGGUAGUUGGUGAGGUAAAGGCUUACCAAGCCUACGAUCUGUAGCUGGUCUGAGAGGACGAUCAGCCACAUCGGGACUGAGACACGGCCCGAACUCCUACGGGAGGCAGCAGUGGGGAAUUUUGGACAAUGGGGGAAACCCUGAUCCAGCCAUUCCGCGUGCAGGACGAAGGCCUUCGGGUUGUAAACUGCUUUUGUACGGAACGAAAAGGCUCCGAAUAACACUUGGGGUUCAUGACGGUACCGUAAGAAUAAGCACCGGCUAACUACGUGCCAGCAGCCGCGGUAAUACGUAGGGUGCGAGCGUUAAUCGGAAUUACUGGGCGUAAAGCGUGCGCAGGCGGUUUUGUAAGACAGAGGUGAAAUCCCCGGGCUCAACCUGGGAACUGCCUUUGUGACUGCAAAGCUGGAGUGCGGCAGAGGGGGAUGGAAUUCCGCGUGUAGCAGUGAAAUGCGUAGAUAUGCGGAGGAACACCGAUGGCGAAGGCAGUCCCCUGGGCCUGUACUGACGCUCAUGCACGAAAGCGUGGGGAGCAAACAGGAUUAGAUACCCUGGUAGUCCACGCCGUAAACGAUGUCAACUGGUUGUUGGGAAUUCAUUUUCUCAGUAACGAAGCAAACGCGUGAAGUUGACCGCCUGGGGAGUACGGCCGCAAGGCUAAAACUCAAAGGAAUUGACGGGGACCCGCACAAGCGGUGGAUGAUGUGGUUUAAUUCGAUGCAACGCGAAAAACCUUACCCACCUUUGACAUGUACGGAAGUUGUCAGAAAUGGCUUCGUGCUCGAAAGAGAACCGUAACACAGGUGCUGCAUGGCUGUCGUCAGCUAGUGUCGUGAGAUGUUGGGUUAAGUCCCUCAACGAGCGAAACCCUUGUCACUAGUUGCCAGCGAGUAAUGUCGGGGACUCUAGUGAGACUGCCGGUGUUAAACCGGAGGAAGGUGGGGAUGACGUCAAGUCCUCAUGGCCUUUAUGACUAGGGCUGCACACGUCCUACAAUGGCAUGCAUAAAGGGAUGCAAACUCGCGAGAGCAAGCAAAUCCCAAAAAACAUGCCCCAGUUCGGAUUGCAGGCUGCAACUCGCCUGCAUGAAGCCGGAAUCGCUAGUAAUCGCGGGUCAGCAUACCGCGGUGAAUGUGUUCCUGAGCCUUGUACACACCGCCCGUCAAGCCACGAAAGUGGGGGGCAUCCGAAGUCGCCGUGCUAACCGCAAGGAAGUAAGCGCCGAAGAUGAACUCCGCGAU